GACGAACGCUGGCGGCGUGCUUAACACAUGCAAGUCGAACGGAAAGGCCCUGCUUUUGUGGGGUGCUCGAGUGGCGAACGGGUGCGUAACACGUGAGUAACCUGCCCUUGACUUUGGUAUAACUUCAGGUAACUGGGGCUACUACCGGAUAGGAGCUCCUGCUGCAUGGUGGGGGUUGGAAAGUUUCGGCGGUUGGGGAUGGACUCGCGGCUUAUCAGCUUGUUGGUGGGGUAGUGGCUUACCAAGGCUUUGACGGGUAGCCGGCCUGAGAGGGUGACCGGCCACAUUGGGACUGAGAGACGGCCCAGACUCCUACGGGAGGCAGCAGUGGGGAAUAUUGCACAAUGGGCGGAAGCCUGAUGCAGCAACGCCGCGGGCGGGAUGACGGCCUUCGGGUUGUAAACCGCUUUCGCCUGUGACGAAGCGUGAGUGACGGUAAUGGGUAAAGAAGCACCGGCUAACUACGUG
rnacentral:rRNA from 1 species